rnacentral:lncRNA from 1 species
AGCCUGCUGCUAAUGUGCUUACAGUGCUCACGGUCGAGAAGAACGCAGUCAUCUAACACAAGUGCAGCUGCUUCCGUUUUUGUGUGUUGUUGUUGUUGUUAUUGUUGUUUUAUUUUUUGAGACAGAGUCUCACUAUGUAGCCCUGGAUGCCAUGCAACUUUCUAUAUAGACCAGACUGGCCUUGAGCUCACAGGGAUCCGACCACCUCUGUCUCCUGAGUGCUGGGAUUAAGGUCUAACGUGACACGUUAUAUUGCUAUACGUGGAAUAGCACCUGUUGUUUAUUAAAUAUGAUGCACAGUAUAUAUUGGAGUCCCAUGACUGAUAUGGCUGCAGUCCAUAAAGAGGAGCACACCCCUUAUUGUUAACCAAGGGAAAACUCCACAUCCAAAUUUCAGACUGUGUUAUCUACUAAAUGUGUCACCUUACAGCAUCAUGAGCAGAAAAACUGAACAUUAAACUGUCAUACGUGAAGAACAUGUUUUGCACAUGGGCACUGCAGGGGGAAAUUGGGUAGAGGGGCCAUGGGAUCUCUACAUGUCAUUUUUUAAAAUUGCCUGUGAACAGUGACCUCCAAAUGAGAAGUUUAAUUCACAAACAAAAAGCAGGUCAAGUUCUGGGUAAACAAGUUGUGGUCACCUGCUGUGAGUAAUUUCACUUCCAUUUCGGUUUAGGUCUGUAUUUGGCUUCCUAUGAAAGCGAAAGUCCAGAGAACCAGACAGAAAAGGAGAGGUGGAAAUCUCUAAG